ACACUCCUGCGGGAGGCAGCAGUGGGGAAUUUUGGACAAUGGGCGAAAGCCUGAUCCAGCCAUGCCGCGUGCAGGAUGAAGGCCUUCGGGUUGUAAACUGCUUUUGUACGGAACGAAACGGCCUUUUCUAAUAAAGAGGGCUAAUGACGGUACCGUAAGAAUAAGCACCGGCUAACUACGUGCCAGCAGCCGCGGUAAUACGUAGGGUGCAAGCGUUAAUCGGAAUUACUGGGCGUAAAGCGUGCGCAGGCGGUUAUGUAAGACAGUUGUGAAAUCCCCGGGCUCAACCUGGGAACUGCAUGUGUGACUGCAUAGCUAGAGUACGGUAGAGGGGGAUGGAAUUCCGCGUGUAGCAGUGAAAUGCGUAGAUAUGCGGAGGAACACCGAUGGCGAAGGCAAUCCCCUGGACCUGUACUGACGCUCAUGCACGAAAGCGUGGGGAGCAAACAGGAUUAGAAACCCCUGUAGUCCCAUG
rnacentral:rRNA from 1 species